UUCUCCCAGCCCUUGGUGGUAGCCAGCUGAGAACGCUGCUGGGUCUCUGCCUUGCUACGUGUCUGACUGGAGGGAGACCGCGGCGAGCUCUGGGGUUAGGUUCCCCGGGCAGUCCCCGAGGAGCAGGGAGCGCUGCUGGAUCUCCCCAGCCCACUACGCACCCGCGGAGCAGCCUUAUCGAAGCACCCACUCUCCUCACCUCUCCGAAAUCUGUCCUAAGGCUUGAUCCUGAGCAGCGCUGGAUCUCUCCAGCAGUCAUUGAAAUCAAAUGGACUUGCAGGUUGCCAGUGCCUCUUAUGAUCAGGAACAGAGGCUCAGAUCUCAGAGAUUCUCCUCUGUGAUUCCUAUUCAGCUCCUGCCUUGAAACUUACUCUUUCUGCCUUCUGCGUGUGGGUCGGGUGGAGGAAUGUCUACCAAGCAACCAACCGACACUUCCCUUCUCUACCACUGUUUUCACUUAUU